CGCUAUAAAAGUGGAAGAUAUUCAAACUCUCACAUUAUAGGGUUUUCUCUUUGAUUUCCCUCUUUUCGCUGUUCUUGCAUUUAGAUGAGUCUUUCUGGUUGUAUAAUCUGAGUUCUUGUAGCCUUGAUAAAAGUGCGUUAGAAGUAUCUCUUGGUUAAAAGCGUAAGUUUCUUGUCUAGUUGCUGUUCUCGUAAGAUUUUGUUUGAUUGUUUGUUAAGUUCUUAUUCAGUUGAGUUUUUGGUUGAUUUUGUUAAACAAAAGUUGUUAUUUGUUGAAAAUAUUUGGUUUAAAAAUACUAUAACUAUACCGUGGUAUGCAAACAAAAAAUUGGGAAGAAUGAAGCAUCACAAACCUUCAACCUCAAAGUCGAAGGAAGCCUCUGGAUCUCAAAACCCUAACCCUACACUUGGUCAGAUUGAUGACCACUCCGAGGUUUGAGUGGUGUUGAAGAAGGAAUUGCUUCGGUUUCCAUACAAGAACACUCUACUGCUACAGCUGCAGAAAUCGUCGAGGCACCUUCGAGUUCGAGUGUUAAUGGGGACGAUGAUUCUGCAGAAAGAUUUGGGAAUUUGGCAGAAACAGAGGCUGCUUCAGAUCAUUCAGAAGAUGAAGAUGAUGACGACGCUUACAAUGUGUAUUGUAUACAAUCAGUCUUGAAUAUCAGCUUGUGAAACACACACUGAUAUUUCUAAAAAGUUUUCUUUGAUAUUCUGCAUUUAAUGCACGUAAGCAUCAUCUAUUAUCUAUUUCAUGAUUACACAA